UACGUAGGUGGCAAGCGUUGUCCGGAUUUACUGGGCGUAAAGAGCGCGCAGGCGGUCGGAUAAGUCGAAUGUGAAAGCCCCCGGCUCAACUGGGGAGGGUCAUUCGAUACUGUUCGACUCGAAGGCAGGAGAGGGAAGUGGAAUUCCCGGUGUAGUGGUGAAAUGCGUAGAUAUCGGGAGGAACACCAGGUGGCGAAGGCGACUUCCUGGCCUGUUCUUGACGCUGAGGCGGCGAAAGCUAGGGAGCAAACGGG
rnacentral:rRNA from 1 species